AGGCUAAGCUGUUCGUUCAGUCGCAGUAACCCUAGCAGUGGUAUCUGGUACAAAUGGUAUAAAGGUCAAUCAAGGCUAUCAAAUCAAGGAGACCUGCUGAUCUUCCCUGCAAACUUAGAAAAGGCUGGUAAUUACACCUGUGAAGUCUGCAAUACCGUAAAAUGUGUUCCAGCUCAACCAGUCACUGUGGAUAUACACUCUCACUCCCAGGAUGCAUCAGCCCCUUCUACCUCUGGACCCAAACCCACAGCAGAGAGUGAAGGACCUCAGUCUUCUCCACCGCCUCCCUCCACUCCUGAAGGUGUAUCCUCCCCCUUGCCUUCAACAUCCUGUCCCCCUUGCCUGUCUGAACUGCCCCCAUCAGGGGUCCCCGUCCCUCCUCUCCCAUCUUCUCAGACACCUUGUGAUGGCAGAACCGUGGGGGAGGAAUUCAGUUUCCUCAGUGAAUCGCUGGACCAGGUUUUAA